rnacentral:rRNA from 1 species
GAUGAACGCUGGCGGUAUGCUUAACACAUGCAAGUCGAACGGUCACUUCGGUGUUAGUGGCGGACGGGUGAGUAACGCGUGGGAAUCUGUCUUCAGGUCGGGGACAACAGUUAGAAAUGACUGCUAAUACCGGAUGUGCUAUUGGGUGAAAGAUUUAUUGGCUGAAAAAGAGCUCUCGUCAGAUUAGCUAGUAGGUGGUGGAAGAGACUACCUAGGAUCCGAUCUGUAGCUGGUCUGCGAGGACGAUCAGCCACACUGGAGCUGAGACACAGUCCAGACUCCUACGGGAGGGAGGAGUGGGGAAUUCUCCGCGAUGGGCGAAGGCCUGACGGAGCAAUGCCGCGUGAGGGACGAAGGCUGUUGGGACGUGAACCUCUUUUCUAAAGGGAGAUGAUGACGGUACUUGAUGAAUAAGCAUCGGCUAACUCCGUG